rnacentral:misc_RNA from 1 species
GAUGAAGAACGUAGUGAAAUGCGAUAAGUAAUGUGAAUUGCAGAAUUCAGUGGAUCAUCGAAUCUUUGAACGCACAUUGCGCCCGCCAGUAUUCUGGCGGGCAUGCCUGUUCGAGCGUCAUUUCAACCAUCAAGCCCCCGGGCUUGUGUUGGGGACCUGCGGCUGCCGCAGGCCCUGAAAAGCAGUGGCGGGCUCGCUGUCACACCGAGCGUAGUAGAUUUUAUCUCGCUCUGGGCGUGCUGCGGGUUCCGGCCGUUAAACCACCCUUUUAACCCAAGGUUGACCUCGGAUCAGGUAGGAAGACCCGCUGAACUUAAGCAUAUCAAUAAGCGGAGGA